GCUGGCGGCAGGCUUAACACAUGCAAGUCGAGCGGGGAGAGGUGCUUCGGUACUGAUCCUAGCGGCGGACGGGUGAGUAAUGCUUAGGAAUCUGCCAUUUAGUGGGGGACAACAUUCCGAAAGGAAUGCUAAUACCGCAUACGUCCUACGGGAGAAAGCAGGGGAUCUUCGGACCUUGCGCUAAAUGAUGAGCCUAAGUCGGAUUAGCUAGUUGGUGGGGUAAAGGCCUACCAAGGCGACGAUCUGUAGCGGGUCUGAGAGGAUGAUCCGCCACACUGGGACUGAGACGCGGCCCAGACUCCUACGGGAGGCAGCAGUGGGGAAUAUUGGACAAUGGGCGGAAGCCUGAUCCAGCCAUGCCGCGUGUGUGAAGAAGGCCUUUUGGUUGUAAAGCACUUUAAGCGAGGAGGAGGCUACCUGGAUUAAUACUCUGGGAUAGUGGACGUUACUCGCAGAAUAAGCACCGGCUAACUCUGUGCCAGCAGCCGCGGUAAUACAGAGGGUGCGAGCGUUAAUCGGAUUUACUGGGCGUAAGGCGUGCGUAGGCGGCUUUUUAAGUCGGAUGUGAAAUCCCCGAGCUUAACUUGGGAAUUGCAUUCGAUACUGGGAAGCUAGAGUAUGGGAGAGGAUGGUAGAAUUCCAGGUGUAGCGGUGAAAUGCGUAGAGAUCUGGAGGAAUACCGAUGGCGAAGGCAGCCAUCUGGCCUAAUACUGACGCUGAGGUACGAAAGCAUGGGGAGCAAACAGGAUUAGAUACCCUGGUAGUCCAUGCCGUAAACGAUGUCUACUAGCCGUUGGGGCCUUUGAGGCUUUAGUGGCGCAGCUAACGCGAUAAGUAGACCGCCUGGGGAGUACGGUCCCAAGACUAAAACUCAAAUGAAUUGACGG
rnacentral:rRNA from 1 species